ensembl:lncRNA
AAAGAGACUGUAUGUUAUUUUCAGCAUAACACACUGGGAGAGACUGAACAUUUUUUAGCAGUAAUUCACAGUAAAGUAUAAAAAGGAUUUGAUUAACAGUGUUACAUAACGAAUGCUAAUCUGCAGUCAUUUAGAAAUUAGUUACAUUUUUAUUUGAUAUAUCACUUGAACUCUUUUGAUUAGCAACCUUACACAAGUGAAGCAAAUUCUUCAGUCAGGCACUUCUACAGAAUACAAAUUGACACACUGCAACGCCUCCAGACAGCAGGUUCAUCAUUUGAAGGGAGCAGACUUCUCCUGGCUGCACUUCAAUUGUGGAGAGGUGGGAGCCACCUCAGAGCAGCUUCCACCUUGAGUGAGGAAGUGGAACAGAUUGCUAUCACUUUUUUCAUUUUGCAAAUAAGGAGCAGUUGAGAUGGUCGCCCCCUGGCCAAGGUGGGCCUGGCAUGUCCUUCUUGGAGGAAGCUGCAGGGAAGACUAAAGAGAGAGA